CCUACGGGGGGCUGCAGUGAGGAAUAUUGGUCAAUGGACGAGAGUCUGAACCAGCCAAGUAGCGUGAAGGAUGACUGCCCUAUGGGUUGUAAACUUCUUUUAUAUGGGAAUAAAAUGUUCCACGUGUGGGAUUUUGUAUGUACCAUAUGAAUAAGGAUCGGCUAACUCCGUUCCAGCAGCCGCGGUAAUACGGAGGAUCCGAGCGUUAUCCGGAUUUAUUGGGUUUAAAGGGAGCGUAGGUGGAUUGUUAAGUCAGUUGUGAAAGUUUGCGGCUCAACCGUAAAAUUGCAGUUGAAACUGGCAGUCUUGAGUACAGUAGAGGUGGGCGGAAUUCGUGGUGUAGCGGUGAAAUGCUUAGAUAUCACGAAGAACUCCGAUUGCGAAGGCAGUUCACUGGACUGCAACUGACACUGAGGCUCGAAAGUGUGGGUAUCAAACAGGAUUAGAUACCCCAGAAGUC
rnacentral:rRNA from 1 species